rnacentral:ncRNA from 2 species
CUCUUAUCCAGAGUGGCGGAGGGACUGGCCCUACGAUGCCCGGCAACCGUUAGAUGAUUCAACAUCUAAGAAGGUGCUAAAUCCUGCAAAGCAUGAAGCUUUGAAAGAUGAGAG